rnacentral:rRNA from 1 species
GACGAACGCUGGCGGCGUGCUUAACACAUGCAAGUCGAACGGAAAGGCCCUGCUUUUGUGGGGUGCUCGAGUGGCGAACGGGUGAGUAACACGUGAGUAACCUGCCCUUGACUUUGGGAUAACUUCAGGAAACUGGGGCUAAUACCGGAUAGGAGCUCCUGCUGCAUGGUGGGGGUUGGAAAGUUUCGGCGGUUGGGGAUGGACUCGCGGCUUAUCAGCUUGUUGGUGGGGUAGUGGCUUACCAAGGCUUUGACGGGUAGCCGGCCUGAGAGGGUGACCGGCCACAUUGGGACUGAGAUACGGCCCAGACUCCUACGGGAGGCAGCAGUAGGGAAUAUUGCACAAUGGGCGGAAGCCUGAUGCAGCAACGCCGCGUGCGGGAUGACGGCCUUCGGGUUGUAGACCGCUUUCGCCUGUGACGAAGCGUGAGUGAAGGUAAUGGGUAAAGAAGCACGGGCUAAAUACGUG